rnacentral:rRNA from 1 species
AAUGAACGUUGGCGGCGUGGAUUAGGCAUGCAAGUCGUGCGAGAAUCGUAGCAAUACGAGGACAGCGGCGAAAGGGAGAGGAACACGUGGAUACCUACCCUCGGGAUCGGGAUAGCUGCGGGAAACUGCAGGUAAUACCGAAUAACAUCUUCGGAUCAAAGGUGUGAUUCCGCCCGGGGAAGGGUCCGCGGCCUAUUAGCUAGUUGGUGGGGUAACGGCCUACCAAGGAAAAGAUGGGUACGGGGUGUGAGAGCAUGCCCCCGCUACCUGGGGCUGAGAUACUGCCCAGACACCUACGGGUGGCUGCAGUCGAGAAUCUACGGCAAUGGGCGCAAGCCUGACCGAGCGGCGCCGCGGACGGGAUGAAGGCCUUCGGGUUGUAACCCGUUGUCAGUGGGGAGGAAAUGUCGGUGGGUUCUCCCAUCGAUUUGACCUAUCCGCAGAGGAAGGACGGGCUAAGUUCGUGCCAGCCGCCGCGGUAACAC